UGUAUUAUAAUGUAAAAAGCAUAUGAAUUUUUGGAUUUCAUUGAUUGAGUUUAAUUCUCUUUAAUACAA
rnacentral:tRNA from 1 species